CUACGGAGGGUGCGAGCGUUACUCGGAGUCACUGGGCGUAAAGCGUCCGUAGGCGGUCGGGUAAGUCGGGUGUGAAAGCCCCGGGCUCAACCUGGGAAGUGCACCCGAUACUGCUCGACUCGAGUGCGGGAGAGGAUGGCGGAAUUCCCGGUGUAGCGGUGAAAUGCGUAGAGAUCGGGAGGAACACCAGUGGCGAAGGCGGCCAUCUGGCCCGCAACUGACGCUGAGGGACGAAAGCGUGGGGAGCAAACAGGAUUAGAUACCCCAGUAGUCC
rnacentral:rRNA from 1 species